GGGGCAACGCAGGAUCCUGGGCUGUGUCCCCGGUGCCCUAGUAUCCGGGGCCUGCGCUGCUGGAAUCGCGCUCCCGGGGCCGCGCAGCCCCCU
rnacentral:pre_miRNA from 1 species